CCUACGGGAGGCAGCAGUGGGGAAUAUUGGGCAAUGGAGGAAACUCUGACCCAGCGACGCCGCGUGCGGGAUGAAGGCCUUCGGGUUGUAAACCGCUUUCAGCAGGGAAGAAGCGAAAGUGACGGUACCUGCAGAAGAAGCACCGGCUAACUAUGUGCCAGCAGCCGCGGUAAUACAUAGGGUGCAAGCGUUGUCCGGAAUUAUUGGGCGUAAAGAGCUCGUAGGUGGUUCGUCACGUCGGAUGUGAAAAUCUGGGGCUUAACCCCAGACCUGCAUUCGAUACGGGCGAGCUUGAGUAUGGUAGGGGAGUCUGGAAUUCCUGGUGUAGCGGUGGAAUGCGCAGAUAUCAGGAGGAACACCAAUGGCGAAGGCAGGACUCUGGGCCAUUACUGACACUGAGGAGCGAAAGCGUGGGGAGCGAACAGGAUUAGAUACCCUGGUAGUCCACGCCGUAAACGGUGGGCACUAGUUGUGGGGACCUUCCACGGUCUCUGCGACGCNGCUACGCAUAGUGCCCGCCGUCGGGAGGUACGAGUCGCGAGAAGUUAAACGUUAACGUAAAGUUAAAGUUAGUACGGUUCGUUGAGACGNGCCGACGGACGACGACGAGGGAGGAGG
rnacentral:rRNA from 1 species